rnacentral:rRNA from 1 species
CAGUAGCCGCGGGAACACGAACCGUGCGAACGUUAUUCGGAAUCACUGGGCUUAAAGCGCGUGUAGGCGGGAGGGCACGUCCGUCGCUGAAAUCCCCCGGCUCAACCGGGGAACGGGCGCGGAUACGACUCUCCUUGAGGAACGUAGGGGGACCUGGAACUUCCGGUGGAGCGGUGAAAUGCGUUGAGAUCGGAAGGAACGCCCGUGGCGAAAGCGAGGUCCUGGACGUUGACUGACGCUGAGACGCGAAAGCCAGGGGAGCGAACGGGAUUAGAUACCCCAGUAGUCCCUGUCUCUUAUA